GCCGCCGCAAGGCGGGGUCUGAAGGAAGCUGGAGGCAAAGCUGCGGCCCGACGAACAGCAACCGCAUACGAGGCGGCGUCGCGUGGGCGAGAGGGCCAAGAGACUCGAAGCCCGAUGUCAUCCGGAACGCGGCGGCGUAGAUGCGGCGGGUAUGUGCAGCGAAGGUCACGCGU
rfam:Microbial mat metagenome hsmat09_BHWY2836_x1, whole genome shotgun sequence.